AUUCUGCUAAAUUUAUCAUAAGCAUGAUGACUGGGUGUUCACCCUCUUGUGUGACAUGUGUCUCCCACAAACUUUGUUAUGACAUUGACGCAUUACCCAUCUGACA